GACGAACGCUGGCGGCGUGCCUAAUACAUGCAAGUCGAGCGGACCAAAGGGAGCUUGCUCCUGGAGGUUAGCGGCGAACGGGUGAGUAACACGUGGGCAACCUGCCUGUAAGACUGGGAUAACAUCGAGAAAUCGGUGCUAAUACCGGAUAAUAAAAAGAACUGCAUGGUUCUUUUUGAAAGAUGGUUUCGGCUAUCACUUACAGAUGGGCCGCGGCGCAUUAGCUAGUUGGUGAGGUAACGGCUCACCAAGGCGACGAUGCGUAGCCGACCUGAGAGGGUGAUCGGCCACACUGGGACUGAGACACGGCCCAGACUCCUACGGGAGGCAGCAGUAGGGAAUCUUCCGCAAUGGGACGAAAGUCUGACGGAGCAACGCCGCGUGAGUGAUGAAGGUUUUCGGAUCGUAAAACUCUG
rnacentral:rRNA from 1 species